GAAAUAACGUGUUUACCUGUAUAUGCAUUUAUGAAUCAUCUUAUACCAUGCUGUUGGGUUUUAAUCUAAUGAAAAUGACGAGGGUGCACCCUGGCAUCUGAAGUGUGUCAUGAUGUAAGGGCAGAGGACAGUGGAGCCUACCUAACCUGGAGUGUAGUGAAAUACAGAAAAGGCUCCUUCGCCUCAGUUCUGCACCACAAGUGCCUUUAGGGUGAGGGUCUGCACCUUGUUAGCAUUCAGAACUUGGUGAAAGAGAGCUAAGAGUUUCAAGCUCUGGCAGCAGGAGACCCAUCCUAGUCUUCACUUUGUUCUGUUUGCUUCUUUGUGUAUCCCGGACUGGCCUGGGACUGAGUGCUGGCAUCUCUUGUUCUUACUCAGGAUAAAGGCCAUUCUUGUUUGAGUAAUGCUCUAACAUUUGACUGCACAGGUUCCCAUUUCCUCUUCUACAAAUAGGCAGAAAAUAGGAAGUUUAAUAAGCUUGGCCUGCUUCAAGACAGUAUCUCAAGAAAGAGGGCGGGGUGGGGGUGGGCUGGAGAGAUGGUUCAGCAGCUAAGAGUCCACACUGUUGUUCCAGAGGACUGGAGUUCAAGUCCCAGCACCCACACUGGGUGGCUCACAACUGCUAAAACACCAGCUCCAGAGAAUUCAAAACCUCUGGCCUCCACUGGCACCCACACUCAUGUGCACGUACCCCCAACCUAUGCACAUAAGUAACAAUAAGAUAAAAAUAUUUUUUAAUUAAUUAAUUUAUUUAUUAUAUAUAUAAUAUUCUGUCUGUGUGUAUGCCUGGAAGGCCAGAAGAGGGCACCAGACCCCAUUACAGAUGGUUGUGAGCCACCAUGUGGUUGCUGGGAAUUGAACUCAGGACCUUUGGAAGAGCAGGCAAUGCUCUUAACCUCUGAGCCAUCUCUCCAGCCCCAGAUAAAAAUAUUUUUUUAAAUUUUUUUAAUACUUAUUUAUUUAUUAUGUAUACAAUAUUCUGUCUGUGUGUAUGCCUGAGAUAGCUGUGAGCCACCACGUGGUUGCUGGGAAUUGAACUCAGGACCUUUGGAAGAGCAGCCAAUGCUCUUAACCUCUGAGCCAUCUUUCCAGCCCCAGAUAAAAAUAUUUUUAAGAAAAUUAGAAGCCAGGUGGUGGUGGCACAUGCCUUUAAUUCCAGCACUCGGGAGGCAGAGGCAGGUGAAUCUCUGAGUUCGAGGCUAGCCUGGUCUACUGAGUUGCAGAACAGCCACGGCUACACAGAGAAGCCCUGUCUUGAAACCCUUCUCCCCAACAAAAAAAUGAAUUGGAAAUGUAUAUUAAAAUCCUCAUCUGCUUAAAUCCAUUAUAUAAAAUGGCAUAGUGUUUGCAAAUACAUACCUACAUCCUCCCUUAUAUCUUGUUUUUAUUUCUUCGGUUUGAGAUAGAAUAUUACAUCAUAGUCCUGGCUGGGCUGGAACUCACAAUGUAGCUCACACUGGCCUUGAAUUCACAAUCCUUCUGCAUCAGUUUCCUGGGUGCUGGGACCAGGUGUUUAUCAGCAUACCCAGCCUCCCUUCCUGGUUGUGGACAUCAUCUCUAGAGUAUGUGGCAUAUUCCUAGUAUAUUUCAGGUGCUGUGUGAACAGCUGUUGUACUGUGCUGUUUAAGGAGAAUUUAAAAGAGAAGUCAGUACAAAAUGUCCAGGACACAACUGUGGUGUUUAUAGAUAUAAGGACCAACUGUAUCUUAAUGAAAAUUUUUUGGAAAAAAAACCUAAUUUGAAUAAUAAUGAACAGAGAUAAAUACAUUUUUCAAAACAAGAAUAUACGUAGCUACUAUUUAUAAUCACUAUUCUUUCAUAUAAGAUUGUGUGUGUGUAUUGAGAAUUGAAUCCAAAGACCUCAUGCAAACUCAGACAACAUAAUCUCCUACUGAACUACAUCCCUAAACUAAGAAAAAAAAUAUCUUAAUACCACAGAAGUGGGAAAUCUUUAAUUUAAAAAUGAAGAACAUUUAGCUUUAAAUUUUUUUAUCAUGUUUUAUUUACUUAUUGUGGAGUGUGUGGAGGGGUGCAUGGAUGCCAUGGUGGGAGUCUGGAGAUCAGAGGAUAAUUUUCAGGUUUGUCCUUCCACCAUGUCAGUCCUGGGGAUUGAACUCAGGUUGUCAGUCAUGGCGAGAGGUUCUUGUUCUGGCGAGCUAACUCACUAGCCCAACAGUUCACUUUGUAAAGAACUAUGAUAGCAGAUUGACCCAGCGAAUCUCAGUUUUCUGUCUACCAAGGAGGCAGUCAUUGUAAGCUACAUCAGUAACUGGUCUGGAAGGCCACUUGAAGCCCUUCCUUUCUGUGGCUCUGUGAAGAUGCAAGCAUGCAGACACUGUUCCACACUCUUGAGAUCUAUUAGGACACCAGCAGAACUCGUGAGAAAUUCAUGGUUCUCUUCCAUCUGCCCAUUCGUUCAUCAGUCCUAGAUGCUGCCUCUGUUCUACGUAACAUUCAAGCAAAAGCCGUAUCAUUCUUUUGGAAGUUAGUUUCUCCAAAAGCGGGUGCUAACCACUGCUGCUCUGUAUCUCAGAGGUAGAAAAAUCCAUUUGCCUGGCCCAGUUUCUAUCAAGAACAGAUUUGUAGGAGCCCUGGACUUCCUCUGACUUUUAUAGACUUGUUUAUGUGUACCUGUGUUUGCCUGUAUCUGUGUUUGGGCACCAUGUGUGUGCCUGGUGCCUGAGGAGGUCAGAAGAGGGCAUUGGAUUGUGAGCUACCAUGUGGAUGCCGGGAACUGAACCUGGGUCCUUUGUAAGAGUAGUAAGUGCUCUUAACUGCUAAGCCAUCUCUCCAGUCUCCAUGGCUCUUAACCAAGGCUCCAUAGCAGAUGACUUAAUUCUAAACCAGCCCAGAGGGCCCACCCAUCAUUCCAUCAUCUAGAAAUGCCCCACAUCCCCUGUGUUGCAAGGCAUUCCAGGAGUUAGUUAGCCAUCUAAUAGAAGAGGCAGCCAAACAAUUAGUCCAUGAAUAUGGACAACGUCAGGAUGGCACACACAUAUGGAGGGAGAGAGAGAACUAGAACCAGGAGUUGAUACAGAGAGACAGCACAGGUUCUCAAGUAAAGGAUAUGAGGUUAAAUGAAACUGCAAAGACAAGCGGAAGUUUGUUAGGUGGGGAGGGUAGGUGGAUGAAGCUGAGCAUCCUGAAUAGAACCUGAAGCAUCAGGACCAACCCCAGGGAAGUGCUGUGUUCUGGAAGCGCCAAGAUUGCACCAGGACUAUGUGGCCUGGAGAAGUUAGAUGGGUCGUGUCAGAUUUACACUGAGCUCAGUGUAAUGUCAAGCCCUGGAUUCGCCCUGAAGGAGCUCAAGGAAAAUCCACCCAGAGCAGACUCAACAGGUGCACCUGAGUCCAGCUUCAAAUUUCUAGGUAUUUCACUAUAACUGGAGGUUUCUCUCCUGCCCACCAGUUCCCAAUAUCCACUCCAAGGCUUAAUAUUAAUUACAAACUGUUUGGCCUGUUAGCUCAGGCUUAUUACUAACUGACUUUUAUAUCUUAAAAUAACCCAUUUCUAUUAUUCUAUAUUUUACCAUAGACUCAUGACUUGUUACCUCAUAUCUUGCUUCCCCAGUGGCUGGUGGUGUCUCUUUGACUCUGCCUUCUUUCCCUGUCACCUAGCUAUAUUCUGCCUGGCUAUUUGCCAAAUCAACUUUUUUAUUAAUCAAUGAUAAUAAGAUCUAUUCACAUCAUUCAUCUAGAAGUGGCCUGGACCACUUCCCUUCAUCGUGUUCUAAGAAACUUGUAGACAGGCCCCACUCCAUUGAGACCUGGGGGGGAUGGAUGUGCAGUAACUAGAGUUUGUAGUGUUGUUGUUUGAUCAACCUGUAAGAUGAGGUGAAAGUUUAUGACAGAAAUAAUCUUUCAUAGGAAACUAUGGAUAACCCAAACUGUAAUUACUGGAAGGUAGAUUCUCUUAAUAGUUUCUUAUUUACCAGACGUAGAAACCAUGCACAGGUUUAAGGAACUUGUUUGGAUGUGAUUUGUGUCCCCCGGACACAUAUGUUGGAAGCUUGGUUACCGGGUGACAGGAUUUAAGAGGUGGGGCCUAGUACAAGACCAUGGUACAUUACACUUAGAAGGAAUUUAUGCCAGUCUCCUCAGGGAAAUGGGCUGUCCAAAGGGGGCCACCUCAUGUGUGUGGCCUCUUGCACGUGUGACCCUUCCAUUUGUCCACUUUGUUGUGUUAUAGCCGAGGAUCACUCACCAGAAGCCAAACAAACAUGGCCACAUCAUUGGACUUUUUUCUUUUCAAUUUUUAAGUAUUUUGCGUGUGGGGGCUGGAGACCUGGCUCAGAAGUUAAGAGCACUGGCUGCUCUUCCAGGGGUCCUGAGUUCAAUUCCCAGCAACCACAUGGUGGUUCACAACCAUCUGUAAUGAGAUCUUGUGCCCUCUUCUGGCAUCCAAGCAUACAUGCAGACAGAAUACUGUAUACAUAAUAAAUACAUAAAUAAACAGAUAAAUAACAUCUUUAAAAAAUAUUUUGCAUAGAAAAAGGAAAAAAUAUUUUGCAUGUGGAUGUUUUGCCUGUGUGUUUGUGCAGUAUUUGCAUGAAGUGCCCAUAGAAGCCAGAAGAGGGUAUCAGAUCCCCUGGUAUAAAUGGUUAUGAGCUACCAUUUGGGUGCUAGAAACCAAAUCCUGAUCCUCUGGAGGAGCAGCUGGUGCUCUAAUGGUUGAGGCAUGUCUCCAGCCCAAGAAAAAUUUGAAUGUAUGUGUCUUAGUUAGGGUUUCUGUUGCUGUGAAGAGACACCAUGACCAUAGCAAUUCUUACAAAGGAAAACAUUUAAUUGAGUGGCUUAUAGUUCAGAGGAUAAGUCCAUUGUCUUCAUGGUGGCACAUGGCAGAUGCAGGCAGGUAAGGUGCUGGAGAAGGAGCUAAGAAUUCUACAUCUUGAUUCCCUGGCCAUAGGAAGUGAACUGAGACACUGGGUGUGGCUUGAGCAUAUGUGAUACCUCAAAGCCUGCCUCCACAGUGACUCUUCCAACAAGACCACACCUAUGCCAAGGCCACACAUCCUAAUAGUGCCACUCCCUUUGGGGCCAUUUUCUUUCAAACCACCACAUCUAGGGAGAGCUCUAUUUCCAUCAUUAUAGAGGAAAUAAGCCAAGCACCAAGAACCUUUUAGCCGAUAACCAAGCAUGUCUGAAAAAGUGGCUCCUCAGAAGAGUCUGUAAGUGGACUAGGCAUUGGGGAGAUACUAAGGCAACAUUUUAACCAAGUUUUUAUCUGAUCAUAUGCAUUCCUUGAAUUUUGUGGGCUUGUCCUAGGUGUUUAGUUAUAAUUUCCUUUUUUUAAAAGACUUUUAAGUAUGUGUGUGUGUGUAUGCGCACGUGUGUGUGUGUGUGUGUGUGUGUGUGUGUGUGUGUAUGUGCGUGUGUGUGUGUGUACGCAUAUGUGCUCUCAGAGGCCAGAUCCCCUGGAGCUAGAGUCACAGGUGGUUGGAGUUGCCUGAUGUUGGUGCUGGGAACUGACUGUGGGUCUUCUGGAAGGGCAAGCAAGUUCUCAACCUGGAGCCAUCUCUGCAGCCUCUAAUUAUGUCUGAGUUUCAACAGUUUCAAUUGCUCAACCUCAGGCUGACUCUCAGUGGGUUCUGUAGGGUCCUGUCUAACGUGCGGUAUUUCCGAGGCAGUUCCCACCACAGCCCUUCCCCUUUUGUGGCUAGUAGUUUAUACUCACAUUUACGUUUGAACUUCUGACCUGUAAUCUAAGCUGCUUUAAUUAGGGAGAUGCUGAGGGUGAUGCAGAUCCAAAGUUGGGGUAUCUUUCACUCUUCAGACAUAGUCAACAGCUUUUCAGGUGAUGGGAAAACUUACACCUGAGACCGUAGCUGUAUUUUACUGUAACUGCAACAUUGUGGCUGGCUAUGGCAGUUCCCCUGUGUGUUCGGGCAGAGCCAAGUCCUGUCCUCCACUUGCUUGUCUCCUGCUUCUUUACUGAGUGCAGUUGGAUACAAAGGGGCUGGUGCACAGGGCAACAGAAGAAAUGACUCCCGUUAGAUGUCAAGCUCCCAUGAUCUUUAUUUACCCCAGGCACCUGUGGGACAUUUUACACUUGGGCUAUUUCAUUCCCUCUGGUAAUUAUAGGUGACAUAAAAAAUGUCUUCAGGCCGGGCGGUGAUGGCGCACGCCUUUAAUCCCAGCACUUGGGAGGCAGAGGCAGGCGGAUCUCUGUAAGUUCGAGACCAGCCUGGUCUACAAGAGCUAGUUCCAGGACAGGCUCCAAAACCACAGAGAAACCCUGUCUUGAAA